UACGGAGGAUCCAAGCGUUAUCCGGAUUUAUUGAGUUUAAAGGGUGCGUAGGCGGAAUUGUAAGUCAGUGGUGAAAGCCCUUCGCUUAACGAAGGAACUGCCAUUGAUACUGCAAAUCUUGAGUACAUUUGAUGUGGGCGGAAUGUGUCAUGUAGCGGUGAAAUGCUUAGAUAUGACACAGAACACCGAUUGCGAAGGCAGCUCACAAAACUGUAACUGACGCUGAGGCACGAAAGCGUGGGUAUCAAACAGG
rnacentral:rRNA from 1 species